rnacentral:rRNA from 1 species
UACGGAGGAUCCAAGCGUUAUCCGGAUUUAUUGGGUUUAAAGGGUGCGUAGGCGGCCUGUUAAGUCAGAGGUGAAAGACAGUAGCUCAACUAUCGCAGUGCCUUUGAUACUGACGGGCUUGAAUAAACUAGAGGUAGGCGGAAUGAGACAAGUAGCGGUGAAAUGCAUAGAUAUGUCUCAGAACACCGAUUGCGAAGGCAGCUUACUAUGGUUUUAUUGACGCUGAGGCACGAAAGCGUGGGGAUCAAACAGG